rnacentral:rRNA from 1 species
UCUGAGUAUAAGCAAUUGUACCGCGAAACUGCGAAUGGCUCAUUAAAUCAGUUAUCGUCUAUUUGAUAGUACCUUACUACUUGGAUAACCGUGGUAAUUCUAGAGCUAAUACAUGCUGAAAACCCCGACUUCGGAAGGGAUGUAUUUAUUAGAUUAAAAACCAAUGCCCUCCGGGGCUCCCUGGUGAUUCAUAAUAACUGGUCGAAUCGCACGGCCUUGCGCCGGCGAUGGCUCAUUCAAAUUUCUGCCCUAUCAACUUUCGACGGCUGGGUCUUGGCCAGCCGUGGUGACAACGGGUAACGGAGGGUUAGGGCUCGACCCCGGAGAAGGAGCCUGAGAAACGGCUACUACAUCUAAGGAAGGCAGCAGGCGCGCAAAUUACCCAAUCCCGACGCGGGGAGGUAGUGACAAUAAAUACUGAUACAGGGCUCUUUAGGGUCUUGUAAUUGGAAUGAGUACAGUUUAAUUCCCUUAACGAGGAACAAUUGGAGGGCAAGUCUGGUGCCAGCAGCCGCGGUAAUUCCAGCUCCAAUAGCGUAUAUUAAAGUUGUUGCAGUUAAAAAGCUCGUAGUUGAACCUUGGGCCUGGCUGGCCGGUCCGCCUCACCGCGUGCACUGGUCCGGCCGGGCCUUUCCCUCUGGGGAGCCGCAUGCCCUUCACUGGGCGUGCCGGGGAACCAGGACGUUUACUUUGAAAAAAUUAGAGUGUUCAAAGCAGGCUUAUGCUCGGAUACAUUAGCAUGGAAUAAUGGAAUAGGACGUGCGGUUCUAUUUUGUUGGUUUCUAGGACCGCCGUAAUGAUUAAUAGGGACAGUCGGGGGCAUCAGUAUUCAAUUGUCAGAGGUGAAAUUCUUGGAUUUAUUGAAGACUAACUACUGCGAAAGCAUUUGCCAAGGAUGUUUUCAUUAAUCAGGAACGAAAGUUAGGGGAUCGAAGACGAUCAGAUACCGUCGUAGUCUUAACCAUAAACUAUGCCGACUAGGGAUCGGACGCUGUUGUCUUUUGACGCGUUCGGCACCUUGCACGAAAGUACAAGUUUCUGGGUUCUGGGGGGAGU